rnacentral:rRNA from 1 species
GUGCCAGCCGCCGCGGUAAUACGUAGGUGGCAAGCGUUAUCCGGAAUUAUUGGGCGUAAAGCGCGCGUAGGCGGUUUUUUAAGUCUGAUGUGAAAGCCCACGGCUCAACCGUGGAGGGUCAUUGGAAACUUGGGGAAAACCUUGAGUGCAGAAGAGGAAAGUGGAAUUCCAUGUGUAGCGGUGAAAUGCGCAGAGAUAUGGAGGAACACCAGUGGCGAAGGCGACUUUCUGGUCUGUAACUGACGCUGAUGUGCGAGAGCGUGGGGAUCAAACAGGAUUAGAUA